rnacentral:rRNA from 1 species
UACGGAGGUGCAAGCGUUGUCCGGAAUCACUGGGCGUAAAGCGUGCGUAGGUGGCGCGUUAAGUGAGAUGUUAAAUCGUGGGGCUACAACCCCGUGUCGUUGCAUCUCAUACUGGCGUGAGCUAGAAGGACAGCAGACGCAAGUGGGGAAUUAGCAGUGUAGAGUGAAAUGCGUAGAAGAUGUGGAGGAACACGAUGGCGAAGGCAGCCCCCUGGGUCAAGCAUUGACGCUCAUGCACGAAAGCGUGGGGAGCAAACAGG